GACGAACGCUGGCGGCGUGCUUAACACAUGCAAGUCGAACGGAAAGGCCCUGCUUUUGUGGGGUGCUCGAGUGGCGAACGGGUGAGUAACACGUGAGUAACCUGCCCUUGACUUUGGGAUAACUUCAGGAAACUGGGGCUAAUACCGGAUAGGAGCUCCUGCUGCAUGGUGGGGGUUGGAAAGUUUCGGCGGUUGGGGAUGGACUCGCGGCUUAUCAGCUUGUUGGUGGGGUAGUGGCUUACCAAGGCUUUGACGGGUAGCCGGCCUGAGAGGGUGACCGGCCAAAAUGGGAAUGAGAUACGGCCCAGACUCCUAAGGGAGGCAGCAGGGGGGAAUAUUGCAAAAUGGGCGGAAGGCUGAUGCAGCAACGCCGCGUGCGGGAUGACGGCCUUCGGGUUGGAAACCGCUUUCGCCUGUGACGAAGCGUGAGUGAAGGUAAUGGGUAAAGAAGCACCGGCUAACUACGUG
rnacentral:rRNA from 1 species